CAGAAUCGCCUUUGGGAGCGCCGGGCCAGGAUUCGAACCCGAGCUACCCGCUGGAGAGACCUGCGUAUGCUGUAACCGCUUCGCCACGAAGUGCUCUAUACUCUAGAGUCCAUUAGGCCUAAACACAAGAUCACAAUCUCUGAAGACUACGACAAUUGGUCCUGGACGUAAGGUGGCCUCAUCCUUUGAAGUGAUACCUGCAAGUCACCAGUCC